AUUGAACGCUGGCGGCAGGCCAAACACAUGCAAGUCGAACGAGUGGCGGACGGGUGAGUAAUGUAUGGGAAAAUGCCUAGUGGAGGGGGAUAACUCCUGGAAACGGUAGAUAAUACCGCAUACCAUCGGAUGUGCCAAGAUGGGAUUAGCUAGUAGGUGGGGUAAAGGCUCACCUAGGCGACGAGCACUAGCUGGUCUGAGAGUAUGACAAGCCACACGGGAACUGAGAGACGGUCCAGACUCUUACGGGAGGCAGCAGUGGGGAAUAUUGCACAAUGGGCGCAAGCCUGAUGCAGCCAUGCCGCGUGUAUGAAGAAGGCCUUCGGGUUGUAAAGUACUUUCAGCGGGGAGGCGUUACCCGCAGAAUAAGCACCGGCUAACUCCGUGCCAGCAGCCGCGGUAAUUC
rnacentral:rRNA from 1 species